AUGACUUUCAUCCCCAUCUUCAUCUGGACUCUGGUCUGUUACGCACAAGGGUCUUGGGGCCAGUAUGUAUCGACUCAGUCUGCAGCUCAAUCAGUCCAGCCUGGUCAAAUCACUCAGUACUCUGGCUCACAGUAUUACCUGGCCUGGUACCAUCAGACGUCUGGAGAAGCUCCUAAACUCCUGAUCUAUUACACAUCAGACAGGUUCACAGGAGUUUCCACCUGGUUCAGUGGCAGUGGGAGAGGAAAUGGUGUUGACUUCACUCUGACCAUCAGUGAUGUCCAGGCUGAGUAUACAGGAGUUUACUACUGUCAGAGUCACCACAGUGGUCCUGUACUGUCACUGUGGUGGUCUUUCGGUGGAGGGACCAAACUGAGUGUAAGUAGUGACGUUUGUCCCACCAUGAUAGUCCUGCCCCCCUCCAGUGUGGAGCUGCAGCAGGGAAAGGCCACUCUCAUGUGCCUGGCAAACAAGGUCUUCCCCUCAGACUGGAAGCUGAGCUGGAAGGUGGAUGGGAGCAGUAGCAGGGGAGGACGGUGGACUCUGACCUGGUGAACUCUGACCUACAUGGUGUUUUAGGUCAGGUCAUGACAAGGGGGGUUUCUAGAUAGAAAUAUACUAUGUUGGUGUAUGUGUAUGGUUCCCAAUUGGAGGCAGGAGAUAAUCGUUGCCUCUAAUUGGGGAUCAUGCUUAGUGUGUUCCUUUUCCCACCUGCGAUGUGGGAUAGAUAUUGUUUUGUAGUAGUGCCUAUGUGCUCUACGUACUUCACAUCAUUAUAUCUUUGUGUCACGAUCGUCGUAUUCAGUAGACCAAAGCGCAGCGUGGUGUGAAUGCAUGAUUUUAAUGAAAGACGAAAAAAACACGAAGUAUACUAACAAACAAACUAACUAACUAACAAGACGACCGUGACUGCUACCAAAACACUGUGCUAACGUGCAACAUAACAUAGACAAUAACCCACGAACCACAAUACAAAACAGGCUACCUAAAUAUGGUUCCCAAUCAGAGACAACGACAAACACCUGCCACUGAUUGAGAACCAUAUCAGGCCAAAACACAUAGAAAUAGACCAACUAGACAUACAACAUAGAAUGCCCACUCAUAUCACACCCUGACCAAACAAAACAUAGAAACAAACAUUGCAAAUCAUGGUCAGAGUGUGACACUUUGUUUUGAUAAGUUUCACUAUUAAUAAAAUGUGGAACUCUU